rnacentral:lncRNA from 1 species
AGCCAUUCAAUGACUUUCUCAGUAAUGUAAGUGGCAGAUCUAGAACUUAAAUCAGAUGUUUUUGUUCAAGUGAAAGAUGUUGAAUGUCAGGCUAGAAUUCUCCCAUAAAGACCAUUUGCACAUCAACUAUUUGGCUACCUGAAAAGGAGCUUUUCAGCCACUGAGAAUUCAGAGCCUUUAAUGAUUCUGGAGACCUCUUAGGUAGACUUCUU